ensembl:rRNA 5S_rRNA 5S ribosomal RNA
CGUCUACGGCCGUGCUGCCCUGAACAAGCCCGGUCCCGUCUGAGCUCGGAAGCUAAGCAGGGUCGGGCCUGGUUAGUACUUGGAUGGGAGACCACCUCGGAAGACCAGGUGCUGUCACGC